rnacentral:rRNA from 1 species
UACGAAGGACCCGAGCGUUAUCCGGAUUUAUUGGGUUUAAAGGGUGCGUAGGCGGAUUUACAAGUCAGUGGUGAAAUCUCCCAGCUUAACUGGGAAACUGCCAUUGAAACUGUUUAUCUUGAGUACAUUUGAGGCGGGCGGAAUGUGUCAUGUAGAGGUGAAAUUCUUAGAUAUGACACAGAACACCAAUUGCGAAGGCAGCUCGCUAAACUGUAACUGACGCUGAGGCACGAAAGCUAGGGGAGCAAACAGG